rnacentral:piRNA from 1 species
UAAAGGUCUAAAAGCAGCAAUCACCCA